GACGCCGCGUGAGGGAUGACGGCCUUCGGGUUGUAAACCUCUUUCAGUAGGGAAGAAGCGAGAGUGACGGUACCUGCAGAAGAAGCGCCGGCUAACUACGUGCCAGCAGCCGCGGUAAUACGUAGGGCGCAAGCGUUGUCCGGAAUUAUUGGGCGUAAAGAGCUCGUAGGCGGUUUGUCGCGUCUGCUGUGAAAGCCCGGGGCUCAACCCCGGGUCUGCAGUGGGUACGGGCAGACUAGAGUGCAGUAGGGGAGACUGGAAUUCCUGGUGUAGCGGUGAAAUGCGCAGAUAUCAGGAGGAACACCGAUGGCGAAGGCAGGUCUCUGGGCUGUUACUGACGCUGAGGAGCGAAAGCAUGGGGAGCGAACAGGAUUAGAUACCCUGGUAGUCCAUGCCGUAAACGUUGGGCACUAGGUGUGGGGGACAUUCCACGUUUUCCGCGCCGUAGCUAACGCAUUAAGUGCCCCGCCUGGGGAGUACGGCCGCAAGGCUAAAACUCAAAGGAAUUGACGGGGGCCCGCACAAGCGGCGGAGCAUGCGGAUUAAUUCGAUGCAACGCGAAGAACCUUACCAAGGCUUGACAUUCACCGGACCGCCCCAGAGAUGGGGUUUCCCUUCGGGGCUGGUGGACAGGUGGUGCAUGGUUGUCGUCAGCUCGUGUCGUGAGAUGUUGGGUUAAGUCCCGCAACGAGCGCAACCCUCGUUCUAUGUUGCCAGCACGUGAUGG
rnacentral:rRNA from 1 species